rnacentral:rRNA from 1 species
UACGUAGGUGGCGAGCGUUGUCCGGAUUUACUGGGCGUAAAGGGCGUGCAGGCGGUUUGGUAAGUGCGGGGUGAAAGCUCCCGGCUCAACUGGGAGAGGUCCUUGCAUACUGGCGAACUCGAGGGAGGCAGAGGAAAGUGGAAUUCCCGGUGUAGUGGUGAUAUGCGUAGAUAUCGGGAGGAACACCUGUGGCGAAGGCGGCUUUCUGGGCCUUACCUGACGCUGAGACGCGAAAGCGUGGGGAGCGAACCGG